AAAUAAUUAAAAUGUAUAUUAUAUUAUAUAAUAUACUUAAUCCUAAAUUAUAUAUGCAUUUUAUAAUUAAGGAUUAUGCAUUUAGAAAUAGCUAAAAGAUAUAUUAUGUAUUAAUAACCUGCUUCAAUACUUAAAUGCUGAUUCAAGUGUAACUUUUAUAGAAUAAUUGCAUAAAGUUAUUUCAAGAACCGAACCGGAAUCGUACCAAACUUAAACAAAAAAACCGAGAAUCGUACCAAAUUAGAACCAUACCAAAAUUUCGAUUUAGUUCCAGUUUCUAGGCAGAUCCGGAACCAGAACCACACACUCCUGGGAACCGGAACUGAACAAUACCUAAGUUACUGUUGCCACUGAGAGAAAAGACAAGGAGAGAAGAAAAGGAGAAAACUAGGUACACAGGCCUUCCAAAUCCAGUAAAACUACCCAAGAAAAUAACUACUAUUUGACAAUGUAUCCUUUGUAAUGUGAAUGUUAUCUGGGAUCCUAUAUAUGAUGCAUGUGGGUUUCUUUGUUAAUAUUUUUAGCAGGUUUCACUCUCAAUUUGUCAUCCCUUGGUGCAUUUUAUUCAUUUAUUGUAUAGUCAUUUGUAAUCUAUUUGGAUUUAAAGAUGAUGGAUCCUAGCUCAUAAUGUUAUCCUUUCUAUUGAUCUUCUGACUCUAUAAAUUCUUCUUAUAUACUCUAGGGUUCAAUGUGGAGAAA
rnacentral:misc_RNA from 1 species